UUUGAAAAAAAAGGGGGGAUUCAUUUUAUUUUUCUUCUCAGUUCUCACGCCUCUUCUCUCUAAACCGUAUCUCUUUCACAGCCUUCUCCCAAUAUAUUUUGACCCUUCUUCUUCUUCUUCUUCUCGAUGCCCUUUCACCUCUCCGCCUUCUUCAUUGCCUGUGGCAUCCCUCUCGACAUCCCACUCGACAAGGGUCAAUCAUGAAGGUUAAGCUGCUAUUUUUCACACGCACGCUGUAUGCGUUCUAUCUUCGUUGUUUCUGUUAGUCCAUGGCCACAGUCCAUAUGACCACCACCUCUGCUGCAAGACAGGCGAUCGUAGCUCUACCUCCCUGGAUCAUGGUGGUGCCGAUGGGAAUCUUGAAUGGUUGUGAACUUGUUGAAUUGGGAGAUCUUUGUGGGAGGAAAAAUAUUUUUGUCAUUACUAUGAUAAAAAUAUUAAUCUGUGGAUGAAUUCUAAUUUGAGGUUGAUCUCAAAUAUUAUUUUUAUUUAGUUUUUUGUUUUUUGAAAUAGUGGUUAAUCAGGAUUUAAGGUCCUCUAAUGUUGUAGAUUAGUUAAUGGUCAUGGAGAUUAACUGUCAUCUGGAGCCUUUUCACUAUACUUGUUAAGGUGUUUGCAUGUGUUUCCAAGUUUCAAAAUUGUUAAUGUACUCGUAUGUUUCUGAUA